CGACCAACCAACUGGAUUCCCCCGGCUGGAGAUCACUUUAAGAUUAACACUGAUGCCGCGGUGUCAAGAUGGGGAGGUAAGCGGGCUGUAGCAUCUAUAUGUCGUGAUGAACAAGGUAACUUUCUUGGAGCCUCUUCGGUUUUGGUCAACAAUAUAGAAGAUCUGGAGACUCUAGAAGUGAUGCCGAUUAGAGAAGCUAUGGCCUUAGCAAAUGAUCUAUAUAUCCAAAAAAUCUUAGUGGCAUCGGACUGUAAGAAUGCGGUCGAAGCAGUAAGAAAAGGAACCUCUUCAUCUUAUGGAGCGAUUGUGCUGGAGAUCAAAGAGUCAUCUAGAGCUUUUAUUUCUUGUAUUUUCUUACAUGAGUUUAAAACCUCGAAUAUCGAGGCACACAAACUAGUAAAGCAUACAUUAUCACUAGGGACCGGCCACCAUGUUUGGUUAGGUCACCCGGCAGACCUUUUCUUCGUCCGUGUAAACUGUGUGACAGUUGAAUAA
rnacentral:rRNA from 1 species